rnacentral:rRNA from 1 species
AUUGAACGCUGGCGGCAGGCCUAACACAUGCAAGUCGAGCGGAUGAAGGGAGCUUGCUCCUGGAUUCAGCGGCGGACGGGUGAGUAAUGCCUAGGAAUCUGCCUGGUAGUGGGGGAUAACGUCCGGAAACGGGCGCUAAUACCGCAUACGUCCUGAGGGAGAAAGUGGGGGAUCUUCGGACCUCACGCUAUCAGAUGAGCCUAGGUCGGAUUAGCUAGUUGGUGGGGUAAAGGCCGACCAAGGCGACGAUCCGUAACUGGUCUGAGAGGAUGAUCAGUCACACUGGAACUGAGACACGGUCCAGACUCCUACGGGAGGCAGCAGUGGGGAAUAUUGGACAAUGGGCGAAAGCCUGAUCCAGCCAUGCCGCGUGUGUGAAGAAGGUCUUCGGAUUGUAAAGCACUUUAAGUUGGGAGGAAGGUCAGUAAGUUAAUACCUUGCUGUUUUGACGUUACCAACAGAAUAAGCACCGGCUAACUUCGUG